UGCCAGCCGCCGCGGUAAUACGAAGGGGGCUAGCGUUGUUCGGAAUCACUGGGCGUAAAGCGAGUGUAGGUGGACUAUCAAGCUAGAGGUGAAAGCCCAGGGCUCAACACUGGAACUGCCUUUAGAACUGAUAGUCUGGAGUAUUGGAGGGGAGUGCGGAAUUCCUAAUGUAGAGGUGAAAUUCGUAGAUAUUAGGAGGAACACCGGUGGCGAAGGCGGCACUCUGGACAAUAACUGACACUAAGACUCGAAAGCGUGGGGAGCAAACAGGAUUAGAUA
rnacentral:rRNA from 1 species